GCCCGCCGCUGCCAGUGUCCGGGGCUGCCGCUAAGGCAUUACGGAGGGAGAAGCCACCGGCCCCUGUAAGGUUUGACCCUUUUAUGCAUGUAACUUCACAGUAUAAAGGAAACCAAACAAUGUCUCCCUUCUCUAGUCUAUUCCGCUUGCCCCAGCCCUCCUCGGCUUCCAUGAAUUUUGGAAAGAAAAAAAAAAGGAAGAAAAAAAAGUGGGGGGGACAAACCUCCACAAGAUAGGGAGAGUUGUGGUGUGCUUGUCGUGUGUUACCAGUGGUAACGAUUACUUUAUGACAAAAAUCCACUAAAUCCACAUGUAUAAA